rnacentral:rRNA from 1 species
UAUAAGUUAAUACCUUAUAACCGUGAUGUUACCUGCAGAAUAAGCACCGGCUAAUUCCGUGCCAGCAGCCGCGGUAAUACGGAAGGUGCAAGCGUUAAUCGGAAUUACUGGGCGUAAAGCGCGCGUAGGUGGUUUGUUAAGUUGGAUGUGAAAGCCCUGGGCUCAACCUAGGAACUGCAUCCAAAACUAACUCACUAGAGUACGAUAGAGGGAGGUAGAAUUCAUAGUGUAGCGGUGGAAUGCGUAGAUAUUAUGAAGAAUACCAGUGGCGAAGGCGGCCUCCUGGAUCUGUACUGACACUAAGGUGCGAAAGCGUGGGUAGCGAACAGGAUUAGAUACCCUGGUAGUCCACGCCGUAAACGAUGACAACUAGCUGUUGGGAGACAAUGUCUUUCAGUGGCGCAGCUAACGUUUUAAGUUGUCCGCCUGGGGAGUACGGCCGCAAGGCUAAAACUCAAAUGAAUUGACGGGGACCCGCACAAGCGGUGGAGCAUGUGGUUUAAUUCGAUGCAACGCGAAAAACCUUACCUACUCUUGACAUACUUGGAAGCUCUUGUAAUGAGAGUGUGCCUUUUGGAGCCAAGAUACAGGUGCUGCAUGGCUGUCGUCAGCUCGUGUCGUGAGAUGUUCCGUUAAGUCGGAUAACGAGCGCAACCCUUACCCUUAUUUGCCAGCGAUUCGGUCGGGAACUAUAAGGGGACUGCCGGUGAUAAACCGGAGGAAGGUGAGGACGACGUCAAGUCAUCAUGGCCCUUACGAGUAGGGCUACACACGUGCUACAAUGGGAAAUACAGACGGACGCUAAGCCGCGAGGUGGUGCUAAUCCUAGAAAGUUUCUCGUAGUCCGGAUUGGAGUCUGCAACUCGACUCCAUGAAGUCGGAAUCGCU